CAGCUUUUCAUCCCAUUCUAUGUGUCUUUGCCAGAGUUUUUGGAAUAGAGCUUUUGCUCUAACAGUGAAUUGUGACAACCAUACAAGGGGGGUCGUACAUACUGGUGACCCUUAAGGCGUCUUCGGGCAAGGUUCGCCGCGCGGCAUUGCUACGCUUCCUGAGCCAAGUUCCGUGGACACAACGGUGUGCCUUCCACCACAUAUCUACACUGCAAUGCCAGGACUGCCAUCUACACAGGCUAUUCGUAACUGCGGAACUUGCUAUCGCUCGCUCCGAGUGGGCGGUGUCUGCGAGUGUUACGAUCACUUUGGUGGUGGCAGUGACAGCAGAAGGAUGUUCGAUAACCGUCUCUGCAUUUUUACAGCAUGCUGAACAACUGAUACAGAACGAAGAUAAGCUUUCGAUUUUCCACUGCAACGAACCCUGCAGACCAAGGGGCUGGCACGAGUGUGAAGACUCCGG